GACGAACGCUGGCGGCGUGCUUAACACAUGCAAGUCGAACGGAAAGGCCCUGCUUUUGUGGGGUGCUCGAGUGGCGAACGGGUGAGUAACACGUGAGUAACCUGCCCUUGACUUUGGGAUAACUUCAGGAAACUGGGGCUAAUACCGGAUAGGAGCUCCUGCUGCAUGGUGGUGGUUGGAAAGUUUCGGCGGUUGGGGAUGGACUCGCGGCUUAUCAGCUUGUUGGUGGGGUAGUGGCUUACCAAGGCUUUGACGGGUAGCCGGCCUGAGAGGGUGACCGGCCACAUUGGGACUGAGACACGGCCCAGACUCCUACGGGAGGCAGCAGUGGGGAAUAUUGCACAAUGGGCGGAAGCCUGAUGCAGCAACGCCGCGUGCGGGAGGACGGCCUUCGGGUUGUAAACCGCUUUCGCCUGUGACGAAGCGUGAGUGACGGUAAUGGGUAAAGAAGCAACGGCUAACUACGUG
rnacentral:rRNA from 1 species